rnacentral:rRNA from 1 species
AUUGAACGCUGGCGGCAUGCCUUACACAUGCAAGUCGAACGGCAGCACGGGAGCAAUCCUGGUGGCGAGUGGCGAACGGGUGAGUAAUAUAUCGGAACGUGCCCAGUCGUGGGGGAUAACGUAGCGAAAGCUACGCUAAUACCGCAUACGAUCUAUGGAUGAAAGCGGGGGAUCGCAAGACCUCGCUCGAUUGGAGCGGCCGAUAUCGGAUUAGGUAGUUGGUGGGGUAAAGGCUCACCAAGCCGACGAUCUGUAGCUGGUCUGAGAGGACGACCGGCGACACUGGGACUGAGACACGGCCCAGACUCCUACGGGGGGCAGCAGUGGGGAAUUUUGGACAAUGGGCGCAAGCCUGAUCCAGCAAGGCAGCGUGCAGGAUGAAGGCCUUCGGGUUGUAAACUGCUUUUGUACGGAGCGAAAAGGCUUCCACUAAUACUGGGGGCUCAUGACGGUACCGUAAGAAUAAGCACCGGCUAACUACGUGCCAGCCGCCGCCGUAAUAC